GCGGCUCAAAGAAGACCGGUAAGGGAAAGAGGCGGGAAAGGGAGGGAAUCGAUACUUUAAGAGCAUUGGCUUAGGCUUCAAGACUCCUCGUGAGGCUACGAAGGUACUUACAUUGACAAGAAAUGCCCAUUCACGGGCAAUGUUUCCAUCCGAGGUCGUAUCCUUGCCGGUGCAUGCCACGGUGCUAAGAUGAACGGAACCAUCAUUGUUCGACGGAAUUACCUACAUUAUGUCAAGAAGUACCGAGGCAAGAGCUUGUCACUUUUAAAUAUAUUGGUCGCUUAACUUCUUCUUUUGUUAGUUGUAACAUGUAAAUUAAUAUGUCGAGAUAUGAGAAGAGGCACUCCAAUAUUCCGCUCACAUAUCACCAUGCUUCCGUGUGAAAGAGGGUGAUCAUGUUAUUAUUGACACGUGCAGGCCUUUGUCCAAAACCGUGAGGUUCAAUGUCUUGAAGGUGGUUCCAGCUGGGUCUGCUGGUGGUGGGAAAAAAGCUUUUACCGGAAUGUGAGCUUGGUGCUUCCAUUUUAGUUGUUACUUCUAGGGAUGAUGUUGAGACUUUUAUGCUUUGACUGCUUCAUUAAUUUUCCUUCGAGCUUCAAAUUUUGAAACUUAAUGCUAGCAAGUUUUGUUAAAGCCUAUGUACUGGGUUGUAAGAUGUUUGUGAUUGAACGCCUUAUAAGAAAAGGAUGUUUGGUGGUUGAA